rnacentral:rRNA from 1 species
GACGAACGCUGGCGGCGCGCCUAACACAUGCAAGUCGAACGAGAGAGAGGGAGCUUGCUUCCUCAAUCGAGUGGCGAACGGGUGAGUAACGCGUGAGGAACCUGCCUCAAAGAGGGGGACAACAGUUGGAAACGACUGCUAAUACCGCAUAAGCCCACAGCUCGGCAUCGAGCAGAGGGAAAAGGAGCAAUCCGCUUUGAGAUGGCCUCGCGUCCGAUUAGCUAGUUGGCAGGGCAACGGCCUACCAAGGCGACGAUCAGUAGCCGACCUGAGAGGGUGACCGGCCACAUUGGGACUGAGACACGGCCCAAACUCCUACGGGAGGCAGCAGUGGGGAAUAUUGCACAAUGGGCGAAAGCCUGAUGCAGCGACGCCGCGUGAGCGAAGAAGUAUUUCGGUAUGUAAAAGCUCUAUCAGCAGGGAAGAUAAUGACGGUACCUGACUAAGAAGCACCGGCUAAAUACGUGCCAGCAGCC